CCUUCGGGCGCCGACGAGUGGCGGACGGGUGCGUAACGCGUAGAAAUCUGCCUCAGAGUGGGGGACAACUUGGGGAAACCCAAGCUAAUACCGCAUACGCCCUACGGGGGAAAGCGGGGGACCUUCGGGCCUCGCGCUCUGAGAUGAGCCUGCGUGGGAUUAGCUAGUUGGUAGGGUAAAGGCCUACCAAGGCGACGAUCCCUAGCUGGUCUGAGAGGACGAUCAGCCACACUGGGACUGAGACACGGCCCAGACUCCUACGGGAGGCAGCAGUGGGGAAUAUUGGACAAUGGGCGCAAGCCUGAUCCAGCAAUACCGCGUGUGUGAAGAAGGCCUGAGGGUUGUAAAGCACUUUUAAUCGGGAGGAAUAGCUCAGGGUCAAUACCCCUGAGUCUGACAUUACCGAUAGAAAAAGCACCGGCUAACUCCGUGCCAGCAGCCGCGGUAAUACGGAGGGUGCGAGCGUUAAUCGGAAUUACUGGGCGUAAAGCGUGCGUAGGCGGCUGUUUAAGUCAGAUGUGAAAGCCCCGGGCUUAACCUGGGAACGGCAUUUGAUACUGGACAGCUAGAGUUUGGGAGAGGAGAGUGGAAUUUCCGGUGUAGCGGUGAAAUGCGUAGAGAUCGGAAGGAACACCAGUGGCGAAGGCGACUCUCUGGCCCAAAACUGACGCUGAGGUACGAAAGCGUGGGUAGCAAACAGGAUAAGAUACCCUGGUAGUCCACGCCGUAAACGAUGUCAACUAGCCGUUGGUCUUAUUCGUAAGAUUCGUGGCGCAGCUAACGCAUUAAGUUGACCGCCUGGGGAGUACGGCCGCAAGGUUAAAACUCAAAUGAAUUGACGGGGGCCCGCACAAGCGGUGGAGCAUGUGGUUUAAUUCGAUGCAACGCGAAGAACCUUACCUACCCUUGACAUGCAUAGAAUC
rnacentral:rRNA from 1 species